UCGCGGCUUAUCACCGGCAGUCCCCUUAGAGUGCCCAACUAAACGAUGGCAACUAAGGGCGAGGGUUGCGCUCGUUGCGGGACUUAACCCAACAUCUCACGACACGAGCUGACGACAGCCAUGCAGCACCUGUGCAAGUUGUCUCUUUCGAGACUCACGGGCUUUCACCCGCUUAGAAAUGCAUGUCAAGGCCUGGUAAGGUUCUUCGCGUUGCAUCGAAUUAAGCCACAUACUCCACCGCUUGUGCGGGCCCCCGUCAAUUUCUUUGAGUUUCAGUCUUGCGACCGUACUCCCCAGGUGCAGGACUUAACGCGUUAGCUCCGGGACGCUCCACGAACGUGAAGCACCCCAAGUCCUGAUCGUUUAGGGCUAGGACUAC
rnacentral:misc_RNA from 1 species